rnacentral:sRNA from 1 species
GUAAAGGGAUCCCGGUCCUGAAGGGCCGGGCUUUUCAGCCCCUUGUGGCUGAAAGCCGUCUUUACCAGCACCAGCCAUCACCCACGAGGAGGUGACCUCGAUGGCUACGUUCCGCACAGGACAGAAGACCCACCAGGCCGUGCUUCCUCAGCGGCCUGCUCUGGAAUCGGAGUCAAUAGACACGCCCCGGAUCGGGCACGAAACGGGACUCCGGCACCACCCCAGGGUGGUACCCGGUGCGGACCAUGUGCGAGGGGAGACCACCCACAUCUCACCUGAUGUCGGUGG